CCUACGGGCGGCAGCAGUGAGGAAUAUUGCUCAAUGGGCGCGAGCCUGAUGCAGCCAAGUAGCGUGAAGGAUGACUGCCCUACGGGUUGUAAACUUUUUUUAUAAAGGAAUAAAGUGAGGCACGUGUGCCUUUUUGCAUGUACUUUAUGAAUAAGGAUCGGCUAACUCCGUGCCAGCAGCCGCGGUAAUACGGAGGGACCGAGCGUUAUCCGGAUUUAUUGGGUUUAAAGGGAGCGUAGAUGGGUUGUUAAGUCAGUUGUGAAGGUUUGCGGCUCAACCGUAAAAUUGCAAUUGAUACUGGCAGGCUUGAGUGCAGUUGAGGUAGGCGGAAUUCGUGGUGUAGCGGUGAAAUGCUUAGAUAUCACGAAGAACUCCGAUUGCGAAGGCAGCCUACUAGACUGCCACUGACAUUGAUGCUCGAAAGUGUGGGUAUCAAACAGGAUUAGAUACCCGAGUAGUC
rnacentral:rRNA from 1 species